AUGAGUGGGGGGCUCAGCGAGCCUGCGGGGCUGUGUCUGGGCGCGAGCCGCCGUGGGGCCAAGACAGGACAGCUGGCAGGUCUUAGUGCCUGGGACAGGCAGGGUGUGGCCAGGCUUGGCUCAGGCUGGGGCGCCUCCGGGCCCUGGGACCCACCAGCGCUGUGUCCCUCUGUGCGGGGAGGGCCGCCCCAGGGCCCUGGGACCCAUCCGAGUGGGCCUCCCUCACCCUCACCACAGUUGGCCCCGGACGGGAUUGGGUUCACACGACGCCUGCUUUUGGGGGAGAGACCAGGUCAGGGAGGGGACCAGCCCCCCAGGCCUCAGACCCCGCCCCAGAGCAGGCCGCCCCCAGGGACCCACAGAGGCACAGCCGCGGCCCGGGAGGGACGCAGGGGCGGAGGGUGUGGCCCUAGAGGGGCGGCCCUCCCCGGGGUGCUGGCUGCCACACCGGCUCUCGUCUGCGGGGAGACUCUCGGCCUCUGCACCACCUUUGCUCUGUGUCGUAGCACAAAAGCCACGACCCAGAGAGGGCCCCCCGGCCCUGGGUCUCCUCCUUCCCCAGGCCUCCCUUGGGUCUGCAUGAGGCCCCGACUCAGGGACCCUCAGACAGGAAGGGUCACUGCCCUGGCGCUCAUGAGGGAUGCCCCCUCCGGCUGCUCCCAGCAGGAGAGGGCAGGGCAGGCUCUGGGGGCCAGGACCCCUGACCGCAGCCUCUGGGCUGACCCGGGUGCCCACAGUGGAGGCCAAACGCCCAGUUUAAGGGCCACCCGUGUGGCGCAGCCCAGACUCGCACCCUGCCGUGAAGCAGAACCGGGUCUCUUCCCCCGGCUUUCUGGAGCGGCACGAAGGAGACACGCCCACCCGUCCCCUCCAAGGCGCUUGGCGGUCAAAGGCGGACCUGCAAAUAAAGGAGUGCCUCCCGCAGCAGGCGGCCGUGCAGAGGGGCAGCUGGAGCUGCGGAAUGCGGCAUUGGGCCUGAGGACCACAGCCCCGCCAGUCCUCAGCUGUCCCCAUCCUUCCUCGUGGCCUCCAAGAAACCAGUCCCCCUCACCGGGCUCUGCGAGGGUUGUCACACACGGGCCUCUGUGGACUCCCCGCCUCUUGGCCCCGUGGUGCUCCCACCCACACACCACCCCGCACCCCUUCUGUCACCAAACACGUCAGCACUGUGCCGGCUGUGAGGUGAGACACAGACAAUGAACAAUGAGACACGUCGGAACUAAAGAAAAGAGAGAGGGGCUCUUGGGUGUCCAGCUCUCGAUUUCGGCUCGGGUCGCGAUCCCAGGGUUUUGUUAAGCAUGGAGUCUGGUUCGGACUCUGUCUCCCUCUGCCCCUCUCCCUGCUGGCCUGCUCUGUCUCUGUCAAACAUUAAAAUAAGAUAAGAUAAAAUAAGAUAAAAUAAAAUAAGAUAAAUGUAAAAGAAACA
rnacentral:lncRNA from 1 species